GGGUUGUGAGGUUAAGCGACUAAGCGUACACGGUGGAUGCCCUGGCAGUCAGAGGCGAUGAAGGACGUGCUAAUCUGCGAUAAGCGUCGGUAAGGUGAUAUGAACCGUUAUAACCGGCGAUUUCCGAAUGGGGAAACCCAGUGUGUUUCGACACACUAUCAUUAACUGAAUCCAUAGGUUAAUGAGGCGAACCGGGGGAACUGAAACAUCUAAGUACCCCGAGGAAAAGAAAUCAACCGAGAUUCCCCCAGUAGCGGCGAGCGAACGGGGAGGAGCCCAGAGCCUGAAUCAGUGUGUGUGUUAGUGGAAGCGUCUGGAAAGGCGCGCGAUACAGGGUGACAGCCCCGUACACAAAAAUGCACAUAUUGUGAGCUCGAUGAGUAGGGCGGGACACGUGGUAUCCUGUCUGAAUAUGGGGGGACCAUCCUCCAAGGCUAAAUACUCCUGACUGACCGAUAGUGAACCAGUACCGUGAGGGAAAGGCGAAAAGAACCCCGGCGAGGGGAGUGAAAAAGAACCUGAAACCGUGUACGUACAAGCAGUGGGAGCACGCUUCGGCGUGUGACUGCGUACCUUUUGUAUAAUGGGUCAGCGACUUAUAUUCUGUAGCAAGGUUAACCGAAUAGGGGAGCCGAAGGGAAACCGAGUCUUAACUGGGCGUUAAGUUGCAGGGUAUAGACCCGAAACCCGGUGAUCUAGCCAUGGGCAGGUUGAAGGUUGGGUAACACUAACUGGAGGACCGAACCGACUAAUGUUGAAAAAUUAGCGGAUGACUUGUGGCUGGGGGUGAAAGGCCAAUCAAACCGGGAGAUAGCUGGUUCUCCCCGAAAGCUAUUUAGGUAGCGCCUCGUGAAUUCAUCUCCGGGGGUAGAGCACUGUUUCGGCAAGGGGGUCAUCCCGACUUACCAACCCGAUGCAAACUGCGAAUACCGGAGAAUGUUAUCACGGGAGACACACGGCGGGUGCUAACGUCCGUCGUGAAGAGGGAAACAACCCAGACCGCCAGCUAAGGUCCCAAAGUCAUGGUUAAGUGGGAAACGAUGUGGGAAGGCCCAGACAGCCAGGAUGUUGGCUUAGAAGCAGCCAUCAUUUAAAGAAAGCGUAAUAGCUCACUGGUCGAGUCGGCCUGCGCGGAAGAUGUAACGGGGCUAAACCAUGCACCGAAGCUGCGGCAGCGACGCUGAUGCGUUGUUGGGUAGGGGAGCGUUCUGUAAGCCUGCGAAGGUGUGCUGUGAGGCAUGCUGGAGGUAUCAGAAGUGCGAAUGCUGACAUAAGUAACGAUAAAGCGGGUGAAAAGCCCGCUCGCCGGAAGACCAAGGGUUCCUGUCCAACGUUAAUCGGGGCAGGGUGAGUCGACCCCUAAGGCGAGGCCGAAAGGCGUAGUCGAUGGGAAACAGGUUAAUAUUCCUGUACUUGGUGUUACUGCGAAGGGGGGACGGAGAAGGCUAUGUUGGCCGGGCGACGGUUGUCCCGGUUUAAGCGUGUAGGCUGGUUUUCCAGGCAAAUCCGGAAAAUCAAGGCUGAGGCGUGAUGACGAGGCACUACGGUGCUGAAGCAACAAAUGCCCUGCUUCCAGGAAAAGCCUCUAAGCAUCAGGUAACAUCAAAUCGUACCCCAAACCGACACAGGUGGUCAGGUAGAGAAUACCAAGGCGCUUGAGAGAACUCGGGUGAAGGAACUAGGCAAAAUGGUGCCGUAACUUCGGGAGAAGGCACGCUGAUAUGUAGGUGAGGUCCCUCGCGGAUGGAGCUGAAAUCAGUCGAAGAUACCAGCUGGCUGCAACUGUUUAUUAAAAACACAGCACUGUGCAAACACGAAAGUGGACGUAUACGGUGUGACGCCUGCCCGGUGCCGGAAGGUUAAUUGAUGGGGUCAGCGCAAGCGAAGCUCUUGAUCGAAGCCCCGGUAAACGGCGGCCGUAACUAUAACGGUCCUAAGGUAGCGAAAUUCCUUGUCGGGUAAGUUCCGACCUGCACGAAUGGCGUAAUGAUGGCCAGGCUGUCUCCACCCGAGACUCAGUGAAAUUGAACUCGCUGUGAAGAUGCAGUGUACCCGCGGCAAGACGGAAAGACCCCGUGAACCUUUACUAUAGCUUGACACUGAACAUUGAGCCUUGAUGUGUAGGAUAGGUGGGAGGCUUAGAAGUGUGGACGCCAGUCUGCAUGGAGCCGACCUUGAAAUACCACCCUUUAAUGUUUGAUGUUCUAACGUUGACCCGUAAUCCGGGUUGCGGACAGUGUCUGGUGGGUAGUUUGACUGGGGCGGUCUCCUCCUAAAGAGUAACGGAGGAGCACGAAGGUUGGCUAAUCCUGGUCGGACAUCAGGAGGUUAGUGCAAUGGCAUAAGCCAGCUUGACUGCGAGCGUGACGGCGCGAGCAGGUGCGAAAGCAGGUCAUAGUGAUCCGGUGGUUCUGAAUGGAAGGGCCAUCGCUCAACGGAUAAAAGGUACUCCGGGGAUAACAGGCUGAUACCGCCCAAGAGUUCAUAUCGACGGCGGUGUUUGGCACCUCGAUGUCGGCUCAUCACAUCCUGGGGCUGAAGUAGGUCCCAAGGGUAUGGCUGUUCGCCAUUUAAAGUGGUACGCGAGCUGGGUUUAGAACGUCGUGAGACAGUUCGGUCCCUAUCUGCCGUGGGCGCUGGAGAACUGAGGGGGGCUGCUCCUAGUACGAGAGGACCGGAGUGGACGCAUCACUGGUGUUCGGGUUGUCAUGCCAAUGGCACUGCCCGGUAGCUAAAUGCGGAAGAGAUAAGUGCUGAAAGCAUCUAAGCACGAAACUUGCCCCGAGAUGAGUUCUCCCUGACUCCUUGAGAGUCCUGAAGGAACGUUGAAGACGACGACGUUGAUAGGCCGGGUGUGUAAGCGCAGCGAUGCGUUGAGCUAACCGGUACUAAUGAACCGUGAGGCUUAACCUUACAACGCCGAAGGUGUUU
rnacentral:rRNA from 1 species